AUUGAACGCUGGCGGCAGGCCUAACACAUGCAAGUCGAACGGUAACAGGGAUCAGCUUGCUGAUUCGCUUUCGAGUGGCGGACGUGUGUGUAAUGUCUGGGACCCUGCUUUAUGGAUGGGGAUACCUACUGGAAACGGUAGCUAAUCCCGCAUAACGUCUCAAGCCCAUAGAUGGGUACCUUCGGGCCUCUUUCCUUCGGAUUUUCCCAGAUUGGAUUAGCUAGUAGGUGGGGUAACGGCUCACCUAGGCGACGAUCCGUAGCUGGUCUGAGAGGAUGACCAGCCACACUGGAACUGAGACACGGUCCAGACUCCUACGGGAGGCAGCAGUAGGGAAUAUUGCACAAAGGGCGAAAGCCUGAUGGAGCAAUGCCGCGUGUAUGAAGAAGGUCUUCGGGUUGUAAAGCACUUUUAGCGGGGAGGAAGGGAGUAAAGAUAAUACCUGCACGCAUUGACGUUACCCGCAGAAGAAGCACCGGCUAACUCCGUG
rnacentral:rRNA from 1 species